rnacentral:lncRNA from 1 species
UUUUCCAACAAAAUUUACUUUCAAAGAAGCAAGAAUAAAGCUUGUAACAAUUACAACUUUUAAAUCACAAACUAUGAACUACAAAACCCAAAAGGAUUCACCAACUACUAGACCUAGGCUCUGAUACCACUUGAAGGAUUAUUUUGUGAAAACAUGUUCAUUUGAGCAACAUCAUAUAGCAUGCAAUUAACAAUUAAAAGGCGGAAUCAUGCUUGUAUGCACUCAAAAACAAAACAUUACCAUGAAAUUCAAAGCCUAGUAGAUUGGUGAA